rnacentral:rRNA from 1 species
AUUGAACGCUGGCGGAAUGCUUUACACAUGCAAGUCGAACGGCAGCACGGACUUCGGUCUGGUGGCGAGUGGCGAACGGGUGAGUAAUGUGUCGGAACGUGCCCAGUCGUGGGGGAUAACGUAGUGAAAAUUACGCUAAUACCGCAUACGAUCUAUGGAUGAAAGCGGGGGAUCGCAAGACCUCCCGCGAUUGGAGCGGCCGAUAUCAGAUUAGGUAGUUGGUGGGGUAAAGGCCCACCAAGCCACCGAUCUGUAGCUGGUCUGAGAGGACGGGCAGGCACACUGGGACUGGGACACGGUCCAGACUCCUACGGGAGGCAGCAGUGGGGAAUUUUGGACAAUGGGCGAAAGCCUGAUCCAGCCAUUCCGCGUGCAGGAUGAAGGCCCUCGGGUUGUAAACUGCUUUUGUACAGAACGAAAAGGUUUCUACUAAUACUAGGAGCUCAUGACGGUACUGUAAGAAUAAGCACCGGCUAACUACGUGCCAGCCGCCGCGGUAA